CACGGGGGGGGCAAGCGUUGUUCGGAAUCACUGGGCGUAAAGGGCGUGUAGGCGGUCAAGUAAGUGGAAUGUGAAACGCCUCGGCUUACCCGAGGACCUGCAUCCCAAACUGCUUGGCUUGAGUAUGGGAGAGGAUGAGGGAAUUCCUGGUGUAGCGGUGAAAUGCGUAGAUAUCAGGAGGAACACCGGUGGCGAAAGCGCUCAUCUGGCCCAAUACUGACGCUGAGGCGCGAAAGCUAGGGGAGCAAACGGG
rnacentral:rRNA from 1 species